AGGAUUCCAGCAGGUCGCGCUGCGCCUUGGCUUCGCGCUCGAAUGCGCGCAACUGGACGUCCUGGCCAUUCGUCGAUGACGCCUGACGUUUCAAUUGGUCGAGACUGCCAUUGAGCCCGUCAGCCCGGGCGCUCGCAAUGCGGGCAUCGUUUUCAAGCGAGCGGGAUAUCUUGCUCGCCUCCUCGCGAAUCUGCCGAUCGAUGUCCGUGAUCUGCGCCUUUAAUUCCUUGAUACGCGGAUGCCCGCCCAGCAGCGUGGAGGAUUGCUCGGCAAGCUGUGCACGAAGGGUCACACGCUGCUCC
rnacentral:misc_RNA from 1 species